GACGAACGCUGGCGGCGUGCUUAACACAUGCAAGUCGAACGGAAAGGCCCUGCUUUUGUGGGGUGCUCGGGUGGCGAACGGGUGAGUAACACGUGAGUAACCUGCCCUUGACUUUGGGAUAACUUCAGGAAACUGGGGCUAAUACCGGAUAGGAGCUCCUGCUGCAUGGUGGGGGUUGGAAAGUUUCGGCGGUGGGGGAUGGACUCGCGGCUUAUCAGCUUGUUGGUGGGGUAGUGGCUUACGAAGGCUUUGACGGGUAGCCGGCCUGGGAGGGGGACCGGCGUCAUGGGGACUGAGGUAGGGCCCAGUCGCCUACGGGACGCAGCAGGGGGGAAUUUGGCGCAAUGGGCGGAAGCCUGAUGCAGCAACGUCGCGUGCGUGAUGACGGCCUUCGGGUUGUAAACCGCUUUCGCCGUUGACGAAGCGUGAGUGACGGUAACGGGUAAAGAAGCACCGGCUAACUACGUG
rnacentral:rRNA from 1 species